ACUUAUCAGUAGUUUGAAUCGAUCCGGCAGUUUGUGACUGUUAUAGAAACGGGAAAAUGCUUUUGUUUAAUCGUCUACUAUUGAAUUCAAUUUAAAUAUAUAUAUAUAUAUCAGAAAAAGAACCAAACGUAAGAGAAGAUAGAUUUGCAUUUAAUUGUUCCAACUUUCAAGCACUUUUUGACCCUCUAAAGCACCUUUUAUCUGAAUACAUUGUUCAACAAGUAUUGCAAGUUUGGUAAAUCAAACAUGCCCAGUACUUAUUUAAUACUCAUGCCUGAGAGGAAUGGAGCUUCUUUGAACACCAUGGUGUCCGGGUAUGUUCAAGGGGUAUAAGGGCACAUUUGUUGGGUUCCAAGGAAGUAAACAAGUUCUUUGACGAUCAGAGAAGAAGGUUGUCGGAUUGAAUUUCGGCAUCUGAAUCGACACAGACGCAGGAGCCUCCUCCAAGCCACCACCACCUCCUUCUCCUCCAGGCCACUGCAGCCUCCUCCUCCGUCGCCACGGCAGAUCUGAUGGAGUGUAGCACAUCGUCGAUCUCCACCACCGAUCUCCUUCGCCGAUCUCCACCGCCGCCCUCCUCCGUCGAUAUCCUCCUCCGCCGUCCUCAUCAGCUCAGAUCUGUAAGAUCUAUUAUUCUUUUUUUUAUUUGUUAUUGAUUUUUUGAUCUGAUAAUCUGUAA